UUUACAUUGACAUUCUCCAUGCAUUUACGUUGGUAUUCAAGCUCUGCCAUCAUGUUGAUAUUCUCUCUGUGCUAGUACACUGGUAUUCACUCCAAGGUCGAAACAGGCGUGUCACAAUACACUCCCUGCACAUCAGAACGUGUGAAGUCAGGAGAAAGUUUGUCAUGAUCCGAGACAAAGCAGUUUGCGAAACUGCCUUCACUGCUGGGCAACCAGAAUUGUACGCAGUACUCCAAAUGUGGCCUUACCAAUGUCUUGGAAAGCCGUAAUAUGACAUCCCAACUGCUGUACUCAAUGCUUUGACUGACAAAG